rnacentral:lncRNA from 1 species
CUAUUGCACAUGAUAGAAAAAACAUCUAUCUAAAUACUAUAGUGAAAUCUCACAGUUGCGAAGACUAUACUAGCCCAUAUUAUGGUGGGCUUGGAGGAAUCGAAACAUGAUGUGCUUAGGCAAUGAGAAUUGGUCAAAUGCUAAAUUAUCCUUCAACAUUCAAGGCAUGGUUGAUACCCUCAAAGCUUGUUAUACUUCCAUCUCUAAUACUAUCUAUGAAGACAAUUCAUCAAGUGGACCAACAAUAAUCAUUCUUGUGUCAACCUUAAUGUUGAUGGAAGUUGUCUUGGAUCUCCAGUAAGAGCUGGCUAUGGAGGAAUUUUAAGAAACUAUGCAGGUUUUUUCUUGUUAGGCUUUUCUGGAUACAUUCAAAAUUCAUCUGAUCUUGUAUGAUGAGCUCUAUGCUAUCUAUAAAGGUCUCUUGUUGGCCAAAUAUAUGGGUAUUCUUGAUUUUGUUUGCUACUCUGAUGCUUUACAUUGUAUCAACAUCCUCAAUGGUCCCCCCAAUGAGGUUUCAUGCUUAUUCUGUUUUAAUCCAAGAUAUAAAAGUGUUAUUGGAGCAGGGAAAUGUUAUGGUUAAUCACACCCUUAGGGAAGAGAAUCAAUGUGCAGAUUUUUUUGCAAAGCUUCGUGCCUCUUCUGAUGUUGAAUUUCUUCGACAUGAGUCUCCUCUAAUGAACCUCAAAAAUCUCCUCCAAAAUGAUGUGGCAGAAAUUUUCUUAUCUGUUUUAGCCUUGUACAACAAAAAACUAGCCCACAUUAAAUAACCAUCAUAAUUUUUGUGUGUUAUUUCUUCAAGUAUACUCUUUGCUCUUGCAAAUCAAACUACACAUACACCUAAGCGUAUUGUUUUAUAUUGAGAAAUAUUUUAACAAAGUGCAAGAUCCAAUUUUUAAAGAGUGACAAUUGUAACCCUCUUUCCUGUGACUGUUAUUUUUGCUUUAAUUUUUAAAGAAUCACAAUUAUAACCAUCAAUCUCACCUAGUGUAAUCAUAUUUGCUUUGAUUAUUGUGAAUUUGCUUAGAACGACCCAA